AUGCACGCCAGAGACACAUGCUUCACCUUCGGCCCAUCUACCUCCCCGUCGGCACAAAGCUGUUGUUCGGUCUUCCCCAUGCUGGACGUCCGCUCGCGGGGCUUCACCUUCGGCCCUGGCCAGCGGCAUACUCUCAAUCCCAUCUACCUCCCCGUCGGCACAAAGCUGCUGUUCACCCUCAGCAUGGGCGCCUUCGAGAUGCUCCGCUUGGAGGAGCGCCGCCCCCCGCCGCAGGAUAGGUCCUGCGGCAUGGAGUGGUCGCGGGAGGACUUCGCUCACCAGCCCUUCAAUGCCUAUGACAUCUCGUCGUACUCCGUGCACGCUGAGGAACACACCUUCCUCGUCAGCACCAAGACGAUUGACGACGAUGCCACCGAGGCCACCUUCGCCUUUGACACGGUGAAGCUCGCGUGGAAACUGCUCGGCAACUGGGCGCUGCCCUUCGACGGCCGUGGUCACUUCGACCGGCGCCUCGAGGCCUUCGUGGGGCUCUCCAAGGACCCGGGCACCUUCGGCCAGCUCUGCUCCUGCCAAGCGCCCAACUCUGCCUACACCGCCGGUCAUGAAGGGCAGUGCGCUCCCCCUCCGCGGCUGCUCUGCAAGGAGAAGCUCUUCAGCCAGGAUCCGUCCCAUCGGCAUGUGAGCGCCACCCUGGUCUACAUGGGGCGCGAAAGCAAAUUCUGCCUCGUAGAAUGCCUCUCCAUUGAUGAAGACAAUCGGCAGCACGUGAAUGAGGACGACGACUGCCCUGAUCAAGCCCUCGUCAAGGAGGAGGGAGAUGUGGGUCUGCACGGCUGCUGUGUCUAUCUCUACCGUUUGACCACAUUCUCUCUCAGCCUUGACACGAACGGAGACCUCACGACUAGCGGCAGCUGUCGGGUGGAAUUCUACAGAGUGCCUGAUGCAACCACUAAGUCGUUCCUAGCUCACGAUCCUGUGGCAUUUUGGAUGUAG
rnacentral:rRNA from 1 species